rnacentral:rRNA from 1 species
AUGGGGCGAUCGAAGCCGGUCAUGGAAGAGUUGGAUCCGGCGGAAUUAAUCCAUCUCAAGGAGGAGGUGCUGGCAAAUCGUGAGGAGACCACGGGCUUGCGUGAGGAAGUGGAUCUGUUACGGAAAGAGGUUCAAUCCACCAACUCCAAACAGGAUUCGAUGUGCAAGGUAAUUACUGACGUCCAAACUGCAAUAUCAGCAUUAAGUGGUCAGUUAUCUGCAAUUACGGAUGUGCUCAAAUCUCUGAACACGAAUGGAGCUUCCACAUCUGCUAAUCAGCGUCCUCUUCCAAAUACCCAAGAGCAGCAACGGGAGAAAUCCCCUGAGGUUGAAAUUGCCAAGGAAUCUGCAGAGGAAAAUAGACCUUUUACAGAAGAAUUACGCAAGCACUUUGCUCUUGAACAAGAGAAAACCCGGCAGUAUGCAGAGUUACUAAAUUCUGAUCUUCCUCCUAUUAACACUGGUCGUCGUCCAACUCCACCAGGAUUAACGACUGUUGGUAAUCAUGGGUUACAGUCAGGUCAGGUCUCUCCCGGCCAAGUGGCUCGAACUGCUCGAACUCCUGCUUUCACUCAGAUGCAGCAGCAAUCUAAUCGCCUCCAGUGGGAUGAUUACCCAAAAGCAUAUGAGAAAGAUAUGAGAGCUCAAUUUCUUAAAUCCAUGACCAAGGGACCAAAGAUGGAAUUCCCACGGUUUGAUGGUACAAAUCCUGGGGGUUGGAUUCGGCAAGCGGAGAAGUAUUUUCAAAUGGCUGGGGCACCAUCAGAAUACAAGGUUUCUUUGGCUCAGAUGUAUUUUGUGGGCAGGGCAGAUGUGUGGCUCAGAAGGGCAGGAAUUCUCAAGAAACAGUAUAAUUGGGCACAGUUCUGUGAAGAGAUUUUGCACAGAUUCUCUGCCUCCAGCACAUAUGAUUUAGUGGACAGAUUUAAUGCUUUCAAGCAAAAUAAUUUGUCCAUUGCCGAGUAUACUGACCAGUUUGAGGAAUUAAUGGCGGAAGUUCAAGAAGACAACCCAAAUCUGACUGAGAUGUGGUUUGUAAAGUGUUAUGUUAACGGGAUGAGGGCUACUAUUAAGUUCCAGCUCCGGCCACUUAGGCCACAAACACUGACAGAUGCUUAUUGGCUUGCAGUGGAUAUUGAGCAAGCAACCCCUGCAAGAAAGCCUUAUCCUGCUCUCACUGCAGACAAAAGCAAGUUCUCAUUUCAGAAUUACAAGUCUCCGGGCAUGACUGUCGACAAGAACACUGAUGGUAAGGGUCCUCCUGUGAAUCAGAGAGCAAGAGAACCAGGAAAGUGUUGGAGGUGUGGGGAUGUCUGGUUCCAUGGGCACAAGUGCAAACAAGCACCCGUUAUUAAUUUGCUUACGGGUGAGGAACCAACUGACUCUUCUACUGAACAAGAGGAAAUAACCGAAACUGAACAAGCAGAGCAGCAGCCUGUAGAUGAGAAUUGCAUGCACAUUUCUUUGCAAGCCAUGAGUACUAGUAGAGUAAGUACAUUAUCGGUGCUGGUGAACAUUGGGGGUAAGCAGGCAGUGGCUUUAGUGGAUUCAGGCAGUAAUUCCACUUUCAUGAACCUCAAGUUUGCUUUAACAACAAGCUGUUCUAUAGUCAGGGAUACGUCCAGAGCAGUAGCUGUUGCGGGUGGGGGUGUACUGUGGUCAGGGGCUUACAUUCCUGCAACCAAAUUUCAAAUGGGCAAGGAACAAUUUGAGCAUCCUUUUAGAGUGUUGGAUCUUCCUGGAUAUGAUAUAGUAAUUGGCUGUGAUCUUCUAGCUCAGCAUAGCCCAGUAUCUUUUGACUAUGAGAACAAGCAGGUCAUAUUGACAAAGGACAAGCUUCAGCAAGUCACUAUCCCAGCCUGCAAUUCAUUCGCUGCAGCAACUGAAAUUCCCAGUACAGAGUUAGCUUCUAUGCUGGCAGCUGGUACUAGUGGUUAUGCACUUUUUCUAAUCAGAGAUGUUUCAAUGAAAAAGCCUCCUCAGCAUGUAACACCUCCUGAAGUGGAGCAGGUUUUGCAGCAAUAUCCUGAAGUCUUUGCAGAACCACAGGGACUACCACCUGAAAGGAGUUGUGAUCAUAAAAUCCCACUGAAACCUGGGUCUGCCCCACCUAAUAUUAGGCAAUAUAGAAUUCCUCAUAAGCACAGGGAUGAAGUGGAAAAGCAAGUACAACAAUUGUUGAAAUCUAAGGUUAUUAGACCUAGUCAGAGUCCCUAUGCUUCUCCAGUGAUAGUAGUUCCUAAGAAAGAUGCCACAUGGAGGUUAUGCACUGAUUUCAGGGACUUAAAUUCUAUCACUGUCAAGGACAAGUUUCCUAUUCCUGUAAUUGAAGACCUGCUUGAUGAGCUGCAUGGAGCAAAGUUUUUCACUAAAUUCGAUUUGCGGUCAGGAUAUCAUCAGAUCAGGAUGAAUAAGGAGGAUAUACCAAAGACUGCAUUCAGAACUCAUUUUGGUCAUUUUGAAUAUCUAGUGAUGCCCUUUGGUCUCUCUAAUGCUCCCAGCACCUUUCAAGCUUUAAUGAAUGCAAUAUUUGGCAAGUACUUGAGAAAAUUCAUAUUGGUGUUCUUUGAUGAUAUAUUGAUCUUUAGUCAUACUCUGGAGGAACACUUGGAACAUUUGAAAGUGGUGCUUGAUCUUCUUAAAGAACAUCAAUUGAGAGUAAAUUUGUCCAAGUGCUUAUUUGCUGUUCAGCAAGUGGAUUAUCUGGGGCACAUCAUUAAUGAACAUGGGGUGUCUACAGAUCCGGAAAAAGUUAGUGCGGUUAAGGAUUGGCCCACUCCUACCACAGCAACUCAACUAAGAGGAUUUCUAGGUUUAUGCGGGUACUACAGAAGAUUUGUUCAACACUUUGGAUUAAUUGCAAGGCCUCUGCAUGAUAUGUUGAAGCAA